CAGGCGAGCAAGUGUGCGUCAUAUGAGAGGCCCCGCCUUACAUUUUCCGCGACAGAUUUGGGGAAAUUGGUCCUUGCGCAAAGCAUUGUGGGGAUUUUAAGACCGCAGAGUCUACUCAUGUGCAGCCUCAACAUUUCUCCAAAUGAAGUACGCCGGGCUCGGUAGAAUUUCAAGUAUGCUGGACAUUGUCACUCGAUGACUUAGCAUGCUUGAAAUAUUGGCUCUGGAGCAGCUUUACUCGAGAUUGAGAAACACCCUCAAUGUCGAGUAAACCUGCUGCAGAGCCACUAUUUCAAGUAUACUACGUCAUCGAGUGGCGCCGAAGGACUGUUUAAAUGAGAAGGGUCCAGCUGUAGCCGCAGCCGGUGGAAGUUGAACCUGUAGGAAGUUGUACUUCCAAAUAUGGUCAGAAGAGAGCGCGCCCAACACGUGAGAUGCUGACGCAAGGAUAUUUAAUCAGACAUGGAGGUUAACAGAGAACAGACAACAGACAAUAUGGUGCAGCGAGUACAGGAGGGACCCCAGAGCCAAGGGCAGGCCGAGUAGACCGCCUUCUCCCGCCGCAGGCAGGAUCAAACUCUCUGUCCGGCAGCUUCCCUGGUAAAGUCCCCUCAGUCUGUGCAGGGAGCCGCGCCGUGCCCAUGUACUCCCCGUUCUGCCCUAUCUGCACCACGGUGAUGCUGCUGUCAUCGCUCGCCUCUCCUCCGGUGGUGCCUUCUCCUUCCGCCGCCACACUGCCCAGCACACUGGAGAUCACUAUCCUGUCGGGGGUCGCCAGUAUCUGGCACUGUUAUUUUGGGGGUCGCGGGCUGAAAAGUCUCAUCAUACUUAAUCCUAGACAGUAGCACAUGGUAUAUAUUGUACGACUUUGUAAUUUUUGAAUGUUGAUAUGUAUUCGCUCAUGUCAUGGUUUUGGAUUGUUGUUUUCAUUUUCCACUUUAUUCUGAAAUGUUUUCCUCCUUGUGUCUUGUCUGGUCCUACUUCCUGUGUUUGCCUUCCUGUCGUUAGUUUCCUGUGUGUCUGAUUGUCUGAUUGUGUUCACCUGUUGCCCUUGUGUUUCUGCCUCCCCUGUCUAGCUGUGUCUUGUCCUGUGAUUACCCUUCUGUGUAUUUAGUCUUGUCUUCCCCUGUGCUCCAUGUCUGUUCAUCGUCAUUUCAUGUCCCUGCUACCUGUCAUCUAUGCCAUGUCUCCUGCCUGUUCCUGUCUGUCGUGCUCCCCGGUUUUGUUUCUGUUAAUUAGUUUCUUGUUUUUCAUGCCUUCGGCUUUUUAUAAUAAAGCUCGCUUUUUGUUAACAAA